UGCAUAUCAAAUAAGCGGAGGAAAAGAAACUAACAAGGAUUCCCCUAGUAACGGCGAGUGAAGAGGGAAGAGCCCAAGAUUGAAAGCUGGCGUCUUCGGCGUCCGCAUUGUAAUCUCAAGAAGUGUUUUCCGCUUCGGACCAUGCCUAAGUCCCUUGGAAAAGGGCAUCAUAGAGGGUGAUAAUCCCGUACAUGGCAUGGAGCGCCCGAAGCUUUGUGAUACGCUUUCUAAGAGUCGAGUUGUUUGGGAAUGCAGCUCAAAAUGGGUGGUAAAUGCCAUCUAAGGCUAAAUAUUGGGGAGAGACCGAUAGCGAACAAGUACAGUGAUGGAAAGAUGAAAAGAACUUUGAAAAGAGAGUUAAACAGUACGUGAAAUUGCCAAAAGGGAAGGGUAGGAGGUCAGAGAUGUGUCUUGGGAUUCAGCCUUGCUUUUUGCAUGGUGUUUUUUCCAAGUUGCAGGCCAACGUCGGUUUUGGACACUGGAGAAGGGUGGAAGGAACGUGGCACCUCUCGGGGUGUGUUAUAGCCUUCUACUGGAUACAGCGACCGAGACCGAG
rnacentral:rRNA from 1 species